rnacentral:rRNA from 1 species
CCUACGGGUGGCAGCAGUGAGGAAUAUUGGUCAAUGGACGAGAGUCUGAACCAGCCAAGUAGCGUGAAGGAUGACUGCCCUAUGGGUUGUAAACUUCUUUUAUAUGGGAAUAAAAUGUUCCACGUGUGGGAUUUUGUAUGUACCAUAUGAAAAAGCAUCGGCUAACUCCGUGCCAGCAGCCGCGGUAAUACGGAGGAUGCGAGCGUUAUCCGGAUUUAUUGGGUUUAAAGGGUGCGUAGGCGGAGCGUUAAGUCAGUGGGGAAAUUGAGGGGCUCAACCCCUUCCCGGCAUUUGAACCUGGCACUCUUGAGUGGAGGAGAGGUGUGCGGAAUGCGUGGUGUAGCGGUGAAAUGCAUAGAUAUCACGCAGAACCCCGAUUGCGAAGGCAGCAUGCCGGCUUCCGACUGACGCUGAGGCGCGAAAGCGUGGGGAUCGAACAGGAUUAGAUACCCCAGUAGUC